CCACGACAGAUGUAAGAAACGUGUCCUCGCGCUUUCUGUCUGACUGUGGCAGCCCAGACUGAAUGCGGGAAUGCAGGG
rnacentral:snoRNA from 1 species